rnacentral:rRNA from 1 species
AUGGUCCAUCAGCUUAACUCAUUUGAGCUGCCGGGCAGCCGUGUGCAAUCACAAGGAUUUCUUCACAUGGAUGUUCAUCGUGCCCGCGGCUGUGUGCAGUCACAAGGACUUGGUGCUAUUGAUGACGAUCGUGCUCGCAGUUGUGGGCAAUCACAAGGACUUGGUGAUAUUGAUGACAAUCACGGGGCUGUUGAGUAUCCUCGUGAUAUAGGUAUGACGAAGAGGGCUAAGUGGACUCAUCAAAUGAAGUUGUUUCUUAUUGACUUGCUGAAAGAGCAUGAUGUUCCUGGUUUUCGAACACAAAAUGCAUGGAGCAAAGAGGCCUGGACAAACAUUGUUAAUCGACUAAAUCAAGCAUUUUGUGUAUCAUUUAGUGUUGUUCAAGUCAAACAAAAGGAGCAAGAUAUAAAGAAGGAAUAUCGAAGUGUGAAAGAAUUGUUGGCAGAAAGUGGGUUUGGAUGGGACAAGGAUAGAAUGAUGGUAGAAGCACCAGCAAGUGUUUGGGCUAGUUUUGUUGCUCGCAAGAAUAGUAAGGAGGCCCUCCAAUGGCGAGACAAGUCGUUUCCAUACUUUAAUGAUUUGGCUUCUCUCUAUGAUGGUCGUUACGCCGAAGGAAGAUCUCGUCAUGGUAUGGAUUAUUAUGCUAACAAGGCAAAAAAUGCAUCUGCUCCAUCAUCGCACCCAACACAUUCGAAUGAUACAUAUGAAUCAUCUUCACCUCCAACAGUAGCUCUAGAUGAGCCAGGUUUGCAAUUUCCUUUGGAAGAAGAGGUUGAGGGAGCAAAUCUUGAUUCUGUCCAGCAUACAUCAACACCGAAUGAACAAAUGUAUACCCAAUCAAUACCCCCAAAAGCACCCACCGAGAAGCCUGAGAGUAGACGUAGAAAAAGACAGAAGCAAAAUCCUACAAGCUCUGCAGAUGGAUUCCAUGAAAGAUACCUUAGGCUCAAGAUGGAAGAAAUAAAUCGAUUUGCAGCCAUUGAGGAGAAGAAACUAGAGGAUCCAUUUAGCAUUCACAAGUGCAUCACAACGAUUGAAGGAUUGGAUGGUCUACAAUUGGGCGAUGUGUUGUUGGCAUCAGACAUCUUCAAAACUAGGGAAAACAGGGAGAUUUUCCUGUCUUUCUCUAGUGAUGAACGACGGUUGGCUUGGAUUAAAAGGGAGAUUGCUCGUACCAACGAAAACUAA